rnacentral:rRNA from 1 species
UACGGAGGGAGCUAGCGUUGUUCGGAAUUACUGGGCGUAAAGCGCACGUAGGCGGCUUUGUAAGUUAGAGGUGAAAGCCCGGGGCUCAACCCCGGAAUUGCCUUUAAGACUGCAUCGCUUGAAUCCGGGAGAGGUGAGUGGAAUUCCGAGUGUAGAGGUGAAAUUCGUAGAUAUUCGGAGGAACACCAGUGGCGAAGGCGGCUCACUGGACCGGCAUUGACGCUGAGGUGCGAAAGCGUGGGGAGCAAACAGG